GCUUGGCCUAUACUGGAUGAAAGGAUAUGAUGUUACCAAGAACAUCAAGAUUCAUCAGCAUCUGCAGAUCAUUCAUAUCCAUUGAUGGGACUCAUGGAUUUAUGGAUUUGAACUCAGCCACUCCCCCCUGCUCUGCAUCACGUCUUCCCACGGAUACCAAUUACCUGGCCUGCCCCACCCCCAGACUCACCUGCUUUCCAUCAGUCAAUCAGUCACUCAGUAUAUAUACCAGCCCAUUUCCUGUGUUCUUUGCCAGAUUGUCUAGUGUGUUUUCCUACCUUUCCAGGGUUGUUUCGUGUUUCUCUGCUCUGCCUGAUUCCUGUUCUGAACUGCCUUCUUGGACCCUGGAUUCCCUUUUUGCUCCCUAUUGGAUUUGUUUGCCCUCGUUGACUUUCUGCCUGGUUUUGACCCCUGCUCGUUCAUUAAACCUGAACUCUUGCUA